rnacentral:rRNA from 1 species
UACGGAGGGUGCAAGCGUUAUCCGGAUUCACUGGGCUUAAAGCGUGUGUAGGUGGAUCGUUAAGUACCUUGUGAAAUCCCACGGCUUAACCGUGGAAUUGCUGGGUAUACUGGCGAUCUUGAGCCACUUAGGGCUACCGGAACAAAUGGUGGAGCGGUGAAAUGCGUAGAUAUCGCUUGGAACGCCGAAGGUGAAAACAGGCUGCUGGGGUCGCGCCGACGCUGAGACACGAAAGCCAGGGGAGCAAACGGG